GGGGAAUUUUCCGCAAUGGGCGAAAGCCUGACGGAGCAAUACCGCGUGAGGGAGGAAGGCUUUUGGGUCGUAAACCUCUUUUAUUGGGGAAGAAGAACUGACGGUACCCAAUGAAUCAGCAUCGGCUAACUCCGUGCCAGCAGCCGCGGUAAUACGGAGGAUGCAAGCGUUAUCCGGAAUUAUUGGGCGUAAAGCGUCCGCAGGUGGUUUUACAAGUCUGCUGUCAAAGCGCGGAGCUUAACUUCGUAUCGGCAGUGGAAACUGUGGAACUAGAGUUUGGUAGGGGUCACGGGAAUUCCCAGUGUAGCGGUGAAAUGCGUAGAUAUUGGGAAGAACACCAGCGGCGAAAGCGCGUGACUGGGCCUGAACUGACACUCAUGGACGAAAGCUAGGGGAGCGAAAGGGAUUAGAUACCCCUGUAGUCCUAGCUGUAAACGAUGACAACUAGGUGUUGCCCGUAUCGACCCGGGCAGUGCCGUAGCUAACGCGUUAAGUUGUCCGCCUGGGGAGUACGCACGCAAGUGUGAAACUCAAAGGAAUUGACGGGGGCCCGCACAAGCGGUGGAGUAUGUGGUUUAAUUCGAUGCAACGCGAAGAACCUUACCAGGGCUUGACAUGUCGCGGACCUCGGUGAAAGCUGAGGGUGCCUUUGGGAGCGCGAACACAGGUGGUGCAUGGCUGUCGUCAGCUCGUGUCGUGAGAUGUUGGGUUAAGUCCCGCAACGAGCGCAACCCUCGUUUCUAGUUGCCAGCAUUUAGUUGGGCACUCUGGAGAGACUGCCGGUGACAAACCGGAGGAAGGUGGGGAUGACGUCAAGUCAGCAUGCCCCUUACGUCCUGGGCUACACACGUACUACAAUGCUUCGGACAGAGGGUUGCCAACCCGCGAGGGUGAGCUAAUCUCGUAAACCGAGGCUCAGUUCAGAUUGCAGGCUGCAACUCGCCUGCAUGAAGGCGGAAUCGCUAGUAAUCGCAGGUCAGCAUACUGCGGUGAAUACGUUCCCGGGCCUUGUACACACCGCCCGUCACACCAUGGGAGUUGGCCACGCCCGAAGUCGUUACUCCAACCGUUCGCGGAGGGGGACGCCGAAGGCAGGGCUGAUGACUGGGGUGAAGUCGUAACAAGGUAGCCGUACCGGAAGGUGUGGCUGGAUCACCUCCU
rnacentral:rRNA from 1 species